rnacentral:misc_RNA from 1 species
UAAUAAGUGUUUAUGGCACUUCUUAAAUCCAUAUCCACCUUGUGUGCAAUGUCAGUCCGUUUUCUUUCGUCAGAAAAAGGAUCGACCAAACAUCAACUUAUUCUAUUGAACUGUCUGUCUGAAAACUAUUAUGAAUAAACUAAUUCAAAUA